AGAAAUCCAGGAGGUGCCGGGCAAGGCGGCGCGCGUGCACCCGCGCACGCACACACACACACCGGUCGUGCCGGUGAAGGAAGAGCCGAAGAACGUACACAAAGGGGAGGGCAGCUCGGCGCCGCUCUUAUACCAGCCUCCCCGCUCCGCUCUCCUUGCGCGCCGCUGCCGCCGGUGACUCACGGACGCCUGGGCGGCCUCUGGUUGGCUCGCGAGCGCCUCCAAUCCCAACCGGCUGCCCUAAUUUCCUGAUCCACGCAACCUGCCGCCGCAGCUGGGAGCGUUUCGCCCGGCAACCAGACGCUGCCUUGUUGCCUGCGCUCGAGUCCUCGGCCGAACCAGCGACGCCGACGACGCCCCUCUGGACCAGCUGAUGAGGAUGAGGUGGAGGUUGGUGGCGAGGCACGCAGGUGAGGGGUGUUUGAUCUGCCGCCGCCGCCGCCUGCGCGCUGUUUGCGGCUGUUUCUUGGGGCUGUGCAGGAUGGCACUCGGGGCAUGAUCUUCACUGGUAUGUGCCGCUGGUAUUAAUGUCGGCGGACGUGCCAACGCAGGAGGGGUCCGAAGCGGGUUUCCAGGGAAGCGAUUUCCAACCCGUCUUGUUUUUACUUCCUGGUGAGUAUUGCACAGGAUUGCUGCUACGCAGGAGCGCGAUGCUUCGGGCAUUUUCUCCGAGGAGAAUCUUGGCCACUGCACUAGCGCGUAAUUCUCCCUAAAGAAUGCCAUGGCGAUCCUACUGGGAAUCCGGUAAGUGUUUUCUAUUUUUAAUGGAGGCUUACUUAGAAGGCGGUCUACUUAAAAAGCCUCAGCAAUUGCAUCGUUAAAAUUAAAGGGCAGCUGCUUUUGGUAGUAAAUCUCUUGAAUUCAGCUUAGAUCUGAAAAAUAAGUUCAUAGGAUUGUUCUAUUUUAGACAGGAUAUGGCUUUCACAACUGAGGAGUAAGAUUCUGGAGUUUGGUAAGCCAUUGAUUGUCUCCUAUAGACUUUAGCAAUUCAGGUCCUUAUGGAUUAACCAUGGACCUGAAAUUCAGGAGAAAAUGCUGUGAUGGAAAAUUGCAAAAUUUCCCUCUCCUUUUGGUGGAAUUUUUCAGCUGACUGUUUCUUGCAGACAAGAGAUUGGCACGUGUUUAUCCUGUACUCCAUUAGAUCAUAGAUGAAAUCGACAAAGAACAAGAUGGAACAAGUUGGGCAGAGGAAACAUUUUGGAAAUUAACGGGGAAAUAUUGCAUCAUCUGAGAAAUGUAUAAUAAUUUUUCACUUUGCUUCCUGAAUUCUUACAUCCAACUAUAGAAAGAUGGUGAGGCAUAUAAAUAUAGAAACAGAACCCUAUACAGAAUUUUUCACAUGAAAGAAGCAAAACUGCUAUUAUCUGUUAGAGGAGUUUCACUUAAAAUGAAUUAAGCAAACUCUCAAGGCAAUUCAGGUGACAGUUUUUGGUGGUAAAAAAAUAGUACAGGAGAGGCUAUUUAAUUAACCAUUAAGUUGGGGGGAGAUUGUAACAAAUAUUACUCAAACUCUUAGAUUGAUUAGAGUGUUUAAUAAUUGUUCGAAAGUUCUAAAAUAAAAUGCAUUAUAAUUGUUAAAUUGGUGCGGCAGUUUUCAUUCUGGAUUCUUAUAAGUAUUACACUAGAUUUCAUGAGAGCCAGUUUGGUUUAGUGGUUAAGGCUGCAGGCUAGACGGCAGGAGAUAAUGAGUUCCAGUCAUGCCUUAGCCAUGAAAGCCAACUGGGUGACUUUGGGACUGUCACUCUCGCCUCACAGGGUUGUUGUUGGGAAAAUAGGAGGAAGAAGGUGUGUCAUGUAUAUUUGCUGCUUUGAGAUAUUUGUAAAAAUAAUACAGGAGGAAUACAAAUAAACAUUUGAAAUGUAGCUAUAGUUAACUUAAUCUCAGAUUAUUUAUGUUCCUCUAAUUCUAACAGUCUUUUAUUUCUUAGCAAUAUCUGUCCUCUCAUCCAGACAAGCUGUAAUAUCUUAUUUCAGAUCAGAGCCUGCGUUGGAAGAUUACUGAGACUAGAUUCAUAUCAACGCCCAAGCACAAAACUCACCAGAUCAUUUGCACCAACAAUGUAUUAUUUAUACAAUGCACUCUACUAAAACCCCUGGUUAAUGGACUGCAUCUUUGCCAUAUUACUCUCGCCUCUGUUGUCCAUGGUUUUUCCACCGUUCAGUUUUUUGGAAUGUUACCAGUGGUUGAUCAGGUCACAUGAACUCAAAAUGAUUACUGUUUGUGAUUUGCAACAAUUAAAAUUUAAAACAGUGAUAAAAUCAACAUUGCAGGAAAAACAAUGGUGCUUUGACCUGCUUGGAUAUUUUUCCCCCCCUUCUGUUCAGUUGUGUGUGGUUUUUGGAGACUGCCUGGACACAGGUCCUUGCAGUUUUCUUGGCAAGUUUUUUUUUAGAAGUGGUUUGUCAUUACCUCCUUCCUAUGGCUGGGAGAAACUGACUUGUCCAAGAUCACCCAGCUGGCUUUGAGCCUAAGGUGGGACUAGAACUCACAGUCUCCUGGUAUGUAGCCUGAUGCCUUAAUACCUAUACCAAACUGCCAUUAAUAAAAUAAAUAAUUAUACAGUCAUAUAAAAAAAUGUUUACCUUUUAAAAAAAGUAGCUUUCAGAUUGAAGAGCCUGAACCCAGCAACCUAUAUAGAACUGUAGUUGCAGUAUAACACUAUGAGCAUUGAAUACAUUUCAGUUACGGUAACUUUGCCGUGUCUUCCACCUGAAUAGUUCAGUUUAUGGAGGUCACACUCUGCACAUAUGUCAAGCGGGUUAGAUUGGCGAAAGGCAAAUAAUAUUACUCAAGAGAAGCUUAUAACUUGAAAUACUCUGCUACAAUUAAACACUGAAUGAUUGAAAUUUGUAAUGAUGUCAGUCUUGUUCCCAAGUGGGGAAUCCUGUGUCAUUACAAUGACUGGAAAAUUAUUUCCCACUAAGCAAAAUUGUUUCUAUUUUCAGAAGGUUAAUUAGCAGAUUACUGAUGAGAAAUGACUUAAUAAUAGCAGCUGUUCCAGGCUUGACAUCUCCAGUACUCCCAAUGCGUACUGGAGUCUUUAUCCCUUUUUAUUGGCAAGGAUUUAUGGAACAGAUUCACUGCUUAGCACCAGGGAUGUCACUGAUUGCUAGCCACCAUUAAGAAUGAAGCUACAGUUUUGCCAGCAUUGAAAUAGACACCCCCCUCCCCUCCACCCCAAAAAGGCCGUUCCAUCAUCACCCUCAAACAAUGGAAAUCCAGGAAUUAACAUAAAAAGUUGCAGCAUGGAAGUGUAAAGAUACAAAACUUCCCAACAACUGUUGAAGCUUAUAAAAAGUUCACCCUACAGUCUAAAAAAAAUAGUUUGAUUUAUUUAGGUGUUUCUAGCUCAGCUUCAUAGAAAAAAAGCUGACAAGAUUCUUCAAAUAAAUAAAUAGAAGGAACAGUAAGAAGGAUCCACUGCAGAUAAAAGUAAAAUGUAAACUCAAAAUUGCAGGUAAAAACCAAGAGCACGCUUUAAGAAAUGACCCAACAAGAGUUCUUGAGAUGGUUACCUAAAGCCCUGUAACAAUGGAGUCAACCUGGCCCCAUACAACAGCCAGGUGUGGAAUAGGUCACCUCCAUUAUAUUUGCCAAUCUGCCCUGCUCACAGCAAUAAAUGAAAGGAGGCCAACUUAAAAUCUGGCCAGGUGAUGAUAUUCCUUCAAGUAACUUAGUUCCAACCUAUUUAAGGCUUUGAAGUUUAAAGUCAAGGCUUUGGGAUUGAAAACACUUGGUAAGAAAUAUGGCUAUUACGAUAUUGGUAUCCUAUAAACUGAAUGCCUUGCCUCCAACACCUAAUUGGCCCCACUUUGAACCAGUGGAGUUUCUGAGGUGUCAUUAAAUGAAAGGCCAAUAUACUGUAUAUAUGGAGCAUAUUACAGUCAUCCAGUCUAGGCCUCAACAGUGCCAGGAUGAAAUAAUCAAGGCAAGGUGUAUUCUCUGGAUUUGACUCUGGCUGCCUUUCCUUUGUAAAAUGUUAAAGUAAUCUAGGAGCUGGGAUGAACUGAGGAAGUAUUAAGAGCCACUGACUGAGCCUCUGGAAGCCUCAGGGAGUCUUGAGAGAAGAAGUUUCCCUUUCCUACCCAGGGUGGAUAAAAAUAGAUGAUUUUUUUUAAAAAAAAUUUAAAUCGGAUUUUUAUUUAAAUGUUUUUUUUAUUUUUAUCAAAUUUAUUUUAAUAAAAUUCUUUUGGAGUAAAAAUCUAUCUAAAGAUAGUUUUCUUUUUAAGAUACAUUAAUAAUUUAGUUUAUAAAGCAUGAAAUGGAGUUUAGUUAUGUAGCAUGAGGCUGUAUAUUCUGAAAUAUUUACAUUUUUGGUAAACUCAUUCAAUGAAUCCAAGCUGUGCAAGCCAAAUAGGAAACCUUCAUUUUGUUUGCAAAUAUUAUUAAAGAUUCUAACUACCAGCAAGAAUGAGUCCUUACAUUUAAAGAGCACCUGUCAUUUCAGAUCCAUCAUGGCAGUGCCUGUUAGCGGGCAUCCACUCACCUGCUGCCUGCCAUGUCCCUCACCUUGUUGUGUCACUGCCGCAUCACCAGCUGUCCCAUUAAAGUGAAUGGAACUGUUUGUGAGUCAACAGCGGGUCAGAGGAGCAGUCGCUGUGGGACUGAGAUGACAGUUGUUCUUUAAAAAUUAUGAUUUAAAUUGAGUUGAUUUAAAUCAAGCCUUUUUACUAGUGUGAUUUUAAAUUGUGAUUUAAAUCGAGUCAAUUUAAAUCAAAUCCAUCCUGCUACUAACAUCAAUUGAAACUAGUUUACCAACUUUAGACCUAUCAGGCAGAAGGAUCUGGCCAAGAUGACUGAGAAAAUUUUCUCCCAGUUAGUAUCAAAUAAUAAUAAUGAAGAAGAACCUUGCAGAGUGAUUGGUCCAUUGAGAAUCCUGGUGAAUGGUUCCCUUUGCUUACAAAAUUGACAUGACAUACCCUCUUCUCUUAUGGGAUUGCUGUGUUUGCCUUUUUGAUGUGUGCAUGCCAGAUAAAAGCCAUACAUGUAUGAUAUCCUGGCUGCCAAAGAUGACUUUUAAAGUAUUGAUUUGGGUUUUCCAAGAAGCAUCAUUUCCUGCCAGUUUUUGUGAAGGAAACAGGUGGAUUGCAAAGGCAUUCCUUCCCUCCCUUACUUUCUUCCACCAACAAGGAGAAACUUUCUGCUCAAGAAGCUGCCCAAAGGUAGAGAGCCACACUGCAACAAUCCUCUUCUAAUUCAUCAGGAUUCUCUCCAGAAUUAUCCUACAUUAGCCAUGAAAUAUACAGGCCUCUUUUGAAUCCCAACCCAGCCUCAUAUAAUAAAAGCAACCGUGUUGUUCAUUUAUAUUAACAAUUUAGUUGAAAUAUCCCAUUUUUAAUAUCUAUACUUCUGCAUAAGCUAUAUUUUUGUUCUCUGUCUAUGAUGUCCAUUUACCAUAUACAGAACUGUGGUUACAACAAUACCUCUGAAACUACCUUCCACAUCAGCUCUUUUCAUUUUACCAGGAAUUCACUAGAACAGCAACAGAAGAUGCAACUAUGAGAAUAACUUCAGUAGUCUUGUCCUACUAUAACCAAAUUACAGCAGGUGACAACCAGCUCCCUCCGAGUGGAAAAACAGGCUCUAAUAUUUGCGAGUAAGGUUAAGCCUGCAAAGAACAAGGUAAGGAUGAAAAAUAAACAGAGCAUAUGAUAGGAGAUACAGGAAUUUCAGUCUACUUCUCCUGCUUUACGAAUUAAAGAACUUGUUCUCUUUUAUCAUCUUUGUGUGAGAACAGUUUGUGUGACUCAUGCUUGUCCUUUACAAUUUUUAAAAGUAUUAUCGCAUUCAUUUAAUCAAUUUAUAUUCCGCUUGCUGCAUCUCAAAGAAGCCCGACACAUAGAAAUGUUAAUAAUGAAUCACGGGGAGAAAGAAAAAAAUUCUGCUACAAGAAUAUAAGGUUAAGACAAAGAGAAUUAUGAAUAUAAAGACAAAGAUUAAUGAAUAUUUUUCAGAGUAGAAUUAGCAUAUAAAGCUAGGAAAGGAGACCAAAUUUAAAUGCCCUUCCAAGUCCACAAUUCUGUGGUAGCCCAUUUGUUGUGAUCGUAGCUGACAGAUCCUAGCAUCUGAAAGCACUAUUACAUAUGUUCAUUGCUGUUAUAUAUUUAUGAAGCAAAAGUCUUUAUCUUAUUUUAUAAAUUUAUCUGAUGCCAAAAUAUAGGGCUUAUAUGGCAGAGCAAAAUCCUAGGCAUCAGUUAAAUGGGAAUUCAUCAUUUGGCUUCCUUAAUCAACAAGAAUCAAACUGGAGCAGAUCUAAGCAAUAGAGUCAAUGACAGCAGAAGGCCAAUACAUGCCUCUGCUUUAAGGAAAUGAACCAGUAGAAUAACCAAAAAAGCAGGAAGUGAAACGUAUUUAGCAAGAAUGGGUACACAUCACAUAAAAAGAUAAUGUGGUAUAGUGGUGCAUCUGUACAUUAGAGAAGCUAAAGUACACCAUCUGAAGAAAUAUUUUUUCAGACUCUAGCAAGAUAGAAUGACAGACAAUAGAAGAAAAAGGAAGUGAAAAUGUAAGUUAGAACACUAAGUAAAUUAUUGAGGUUUGACCAGGAACCAAAGUGAUAGGAAUCGCCCAACAGAUUCUUCAGCAGACAGUUGAAUUGCUGGUUAAGGGACGGUUUUAUACUUGUGACUAGAAGGUACGUUGCAAGAGGAGAAGCUGGCAUUUCCAGACUGCUGUGCAAAGCAAAGAUAUUCUGAGGGACACCCAGAUGGCACCGAAAGAGCUGUCCUAUGGUGGGAAUGCUUCAGAAUGUAAUGGUAUUUCCUAUCAAGGAAUGGAAUGGCCAUUUUACAGAUAUCCCCUAUGUUAGCUAGCUAAAUGACGUAAUUAUCGCUUUUUUAAAUGAAUAUGUGGUUUUAAGGGGAGAAAUGAUUUAAUCAAUGGAGAAAGUAGAUAAUUGAGUUGCGUAUUUAUUGCAUCCUGGAGGAAAUGGAUUAUUCGGCUUCUUUUAGUCUGAGUUCAGACUAGGAUAUGGUACUUAGGUAGCACUGGUCUCACUUGUUGAUAGCCUAUGGGGGGACUUGAGAUGGGGCAGUGCAUCCUUGUCUUCCUUGAUUUCUGAGUGAUCUUUGAUACAUCAGUUAUGGCAUUCUUCUGGACCAAACGAGGGGUUUAGAAUAGGAGGCAUAGUGUUUUUCCUCUGGAAUUGGCUCGUCAAUUCCUCUGGACAGGAAUGAGUGUUGGCAGAAAAGUCUAGCCUGGAUCCCUAUUUCUCGAGAUGCUUGAGGGUUCACACUUUUUUCUUAAAACAUCCACAUGAAGUUGAAUCUUCAUGUCUUGAAUCCACAUGCAUUGAAUUAUCAGUUAAUACUUGGUUGUACAUCUUUACCCCUUGCUAACCAAGUGAAGCUAUCAAAACCCAUUUCUAGUGUCUGAAGCAGGAGUUCUUAACAUGGCAAUUUUAAAAUGUCUGGACCUCAACUCCCAGAAUACCCCAGCCAGCUUUGACGGCCUAAAAUGGUGAAGAACUGGCUUCAAGUGCCAGUUGGUCCAGAAGGUGGCAAUGCACUUAGUCAUGGGUGCACGAGGUUGUGACUAUGUAACACCAUUAUUUUAUGAACUUCUAAAAGGCUUUUCAUUGCAACUCAACAU